CGUCUACAUUAGACUACCCGGUAGUCCCAGCCGUAAACUAUGCGCGUUAGGUGUAUCGGUGACCACGAGUCACCGAGGUGCCGAAGGGAAACCGUGAAACGUGCCGCCUGGGAAGUACGGUCGCAAGGCUGAAACUUAAAGGAAUUGGCGGGGAGCACCACAACGGGUGGAGCCUGCGGUUUAAUUGGACUCAACGCCGGGAAGCUCACCGGAUAAGACAGCGGAAUGAUUGCCGGGCUGAAGACUCUGCAUGACUAGCUG
rnacentral:rRNA from 1 species